rnacentral:rRNA from 1 species
AAUAUUGGACAAUGGGGGAAACCCUGAUCCAGCCAUGCCGCGUGUGUGAAGAAGGUCUUCGGAUUGUAAAGCACUUUAAGUUGGGAGGAAGGGCGUCAAGCUAAUACCUUGAUGCUUUGACGUUACCAAGAGAAUAAGCACCGGCUAACUCUGUGCCAUCAGCCGCGGUAAUACGAAGGUUGCAAGCGUUAAUCGGAAUUACUGGGCGUAAAGCGCGCGUAGGUGGUUUGUUAAGUUGGAUGUGAAAUCCCCGGGCUCACCCUGGGAACUGCAUCCAAAACUGGCGAGCUAGAGUAGGGCAGAGGGUGGUGGAAUUUCCUGUGUAGCGGUGAAAUGCGUAGAUAUAGGAAGGAACACCAGUGGCGAAGGCGACUACCUGGACUGAUACUGACACUGAGGUGCGAAAGCGUGGGGAGCAAAC